AAAUCAUAAAUAUCAUAAACAUUUUUGAUAUACUUCAAACAAAAUGAUUUUUAACGUUUUCAUUUUAACCAAAAUGGUUUUUGAAGCAAGUCCUCUCUUCUAGACAGAAUGGCCACAUAAUCGAUUAUCUAAAUGUGAUAAUCAAUUAUCUUGAGUUUCCAGCCAAAACUGGAAAUUCCAGAAUGGCCACAUAAUCGAUUAUCAAAUUUAGAUAAUCGAUUAUCUUCAGUUCCAGCUUAAAACUGGAAGUCAAGAAAGGUAAGAUAAUCGAUUAUGCUAUUGUGAUAAUCGAUUAUUCUACUAUCCGUUGCCAUCCAACGACUAGUUUUUUGACCGUUAAAA
rnacentral:lncRNA from 1 species